rnacentral:rRNA from 1 species
UACGACUACAUAUCAGGCAUAUCAAUAAGCGGAGGAAAAGAAACUAACAAGGAUUCCCCUAGUAACGGCGAGUGAAGCGGGAAGAGCUCAAAUUUGAAAUCUUCAAGGUUCUACCUUGACGAAUUGUAGUUUAAAGAAGUGUUUUCGGUUAGAGGAGUUUAGUAAAAGUUCUUUGGAAUAGGACAUCAUAGAGGGUGAGAAUCCCGUAUUUGACCUAUUAUUUCCUAGCUUUGUGAUACACUUUCAAAGAGUCGGAUUGUUUGGGAAUGCAGUCCAAAAUGGGUGGUAAAUUUCAUCUAAAGCUAAAUAUUGGCGAGAGACCGAUAGCGAACAAGUACCGUGAGGGAAAGAUGAAAAGAACUUUGAAAAGAGAGUUAAACAGUACGUGAAAUUGUCAAAGGGAAGCGUUUGACACCAGUGUUGUUUCUACGAAAAUCAAUUUAUGAUGGCUUGAUGCUAAGCUUUAAGACUUUAUCCGCUUGUUGUUUAGUUUUCUUGUCUUUGUGAAUGCACUUUUCGUGGAACAAGUCAACAUCAAUUUCUUUUGCUGUAAAAGGGUAAGAGGAAGGUGGCUUCGGCUUCGGUUGAAGUGUUUAUAGCCUUUUAUCUCUGCAGUCGGAGAGAUUGAGGUCUGCAGCGUAGACUCUUCGGGGUUAGAUACGUCGGUGCUAAGCUAUAGCUUUUCAUAGACAACUUGUUGACUAUGUUUAGUCAUGUGGCUUACCCGCCGGCGCUAUUUUACCUACGCUUAGGAUGUUGACUGAUAUGUAGUCGU